rnacentral:rRNA from 1 species
UACGUAGGGUGCGAGCGUUAAUCGGAAUUACUGGGCGUAAAGCGUGCGCAGGCGGCUUUGCAAGACAGAUGUGAAAUCCCCGGGCUCAACCUGGGAACUGCAUUUGUGACUGUAUAGCUAGAGUACGGUAGAGGGGGAUGGAAUUCCGCGUGUAGCAGUGAAAUGCGUAGAUAUGCGGAGGAACACCAAUGGCGAAGGCAAUCCCCGGGGCCUGUACUGACGCUCAUGCACGAAAGCGUGGGGAGCAAACAGG